UAACAAGUUAAAAAUUCCUUCAAACCAUCCCUUGACACCGUAACCCCUUAAUCCAACCAAAAGGGCAAGGGAAGGGCAGAAAACUUCUCUCAAUAUCACCGAUGCCUUGUUUCUUACCGUUUUGUUGGCUCCUUAUGUCCCAUUGGGGUAGGGAGAGUUCCCAUUCAUCCUGGAAGUGGGUUCUCCCUCUCUACCUCCGGCGGGUUCAUGGUAUGCAUAAAUAAUGUCUUGUUUUUGCUGCAGAUUUGGAGAAAUGGUUGAGGGACUUUUUGAUUUGCAUGGCCAUCUUUUGGUGUGGAUUGUUUUCUGCGUGGGUCACUACAGCUUUGGGGAUGCUAGGGGAGAUGUGAGGUGGUUACUCGUGGGGUUUGAGGAUUUUAGCUCAACCUAGAAGGCACGAGAGAGAUGUUAAAGAGUUUGUCACCUCUCACCCUUGAUUUGUGGUGUUUUUCGGCAAGGUUUGGCACUAUGCAUGGCAUUGUGCUUCUUCUUUGUUCUUGUAUCCUAAUGGUUUCAUCAACAAUUGAGGAGUUUGUUUGUGUGGGGAAUUCUUCUCUGUAGGCAUUGGCCAAUUUCUGUUGCCUACGCUUCAUUUUGCUCCCUUCGAGUUUCUCUUUUGCUAUGGGUCUCUGAAAUGGGUUUCUCUUUAGGUCAGAGACCUUUUCUCUACCAGUGGGCUGGGCAGCCAAUUGGGGCCCAUUUUAGUUUCUCAUGUUGUGGUUCUAUUUGGGCUAAUGAAGUGUUGUA
rnacentral:misc_RNA from 1 species